CGUCCAAGCUCCUGCACUUACAAACGGUGGCCUCGGGAGGGUCACCACCUCUCGCAUCUCGUGUCUUCAUCCGGGAGCGCCUCCGCCCCGCCUGCCUCGCGGAGAACGAAUGAGAUACUCUGGCAUCACGGAGGCUUCUUCGUGCCCGGGGUUGCAGAGGUGAAUGAGUCAGGGAGGGACAGGUUCCUGCCCCGCAGAGAGCUCUCAGCCUGUUGGAGGGAGGGGAGCGAACGAACGACGGCUCCAAGGAUGCUAAGCAGAGGAAGAAGCCCGAGUUCCUGCUCAAGAGGAAGGGGGAGUCCACUGUCAUCCUUGGACUCAGAGAAGGGAUCAUGGAGGCUGCAGAGGGUACGAGAGGCCUUCCCCAGAGUCAGACUGCUCUCUGAGUUGGGCUCCUGGCUGCCCCUGCUGAGUGAUCCCGGGCAGGCUUAUUUCACUUCCUUCAGCCCCAGUUUCUCCCCUCUGUAAGACUCAUACCCAGCUCAAGAGGUUAUGGGGAAAGCAAAGCCUUAUGCACUUCGUCCGGAGAGAUACAAGUGCUUAAGAAGUGUGGGCUCUUAUCAUUUUUACUAUUUUCAGGGCACCGGGCUGGGCCUGAGAAGGUGGGAGGGGGGCCAAGAGGCAUGACUGGAGGAGGCCUUGUGGGCUGAGGGGCAGCCGAGCAAAGGCCCAGUGAUGUGAUUCCUCGAGGGACGGGGUCAAAUCCCACCUCCACCACGGACUGGCGGCACGAUCUCGGGCAUGAGGUCUGACCUCUGACAACCUCAGUUUCUCUGUCUGCAAAUGGGGGACAAAGACCGUGUGACCUGCCCUCUUCACAAAGGUGUAAGGCUCCAAUGAGACAAAACUCGUAAAAGUGUUCUACACAUUAUUAAAUUGUAGAAACCUAUGGGUGGUGUUGUACCUGAGAGCCUGCCACUGGACUGGCCUGGACCGGACUGGACGGAGAUGCUCGGGGACCGCAACGGGUCGUCUCCACCCGAAGUGAUGAGAAUAACAGCCAGCAUUUACUGUGCGCCUACUGUGUGCCGGGCGCUGUCUCAACACUAUAAAUAUGUUACAUCCUUAGCAUAGGAAACCCAUCCAUCCAUCCUGAGGAAAUCGUUUCAUCCCUAUAACACAGAUACCACCUCCCUUUUACGGAGGACCCAGGCACCCUUUGCCUUCGGCCCUGGAGUGCCCCGCUUCCCGGCAGGAGACAAGUGGACUGGCCAGAGGCCUGAAAACCAUGCCCCCCGGAAGCGAGAGCCUGACAGGCCUACAGAGGGACAGGCUGGGAACCGCAGAUGCCGCUUGCACAUCCCAGCAGGUGUGCGGCAUGUGGUGGGACGGACAGGGAGGGCUGCUGGAUUCAAGGCCAUGUGAUCAGAAGCAGACGCGUUGGAGCUGCUGGCAAAAAGAGCCCACUUUCCACUGGGGGUCAGUAAGCCCAUAGGCUAUAAGCCCGGCACUAGUAGUGACCAUCUUGUCACCGUAUAGGAAAAGCCCACACAGACACCUCCAGAAGCAAGAUAUGAAGACUAACAUGUUCUUGGCGUCAUUGGAGCACCUGGACCGAGCUGUGCCUGAACCCCUUAACCUUUCUGUCACGUAAGGCAUAGGUUCCUUUCUCCACAUAAGCCAAUAAGUCUGAGUCGGAUUUCUGACACUUACAACGGAAAGAGGUCCUGACGGGUACAUCCACUCUGAGAGAGACAGGACGGCCCUAAAGAGACUGUAGAGCAUGAUGGAGUCGGACAGACCUGGAGAACUGUAGCUUUGCAUGUCCUGCUGCCCAGGCAGAGUGAUAGUUCCUAACCGCUAAAAGGUACACAGCACUGCUCACUUUCUAGAACACGUACCCAUCACCCAGCUUUAACAAUUAUUAACAGGUACCCAGUAUUGAUUCAUUUCUUCUUCCACAUAUUGUCUUAUCUAUUAAACAAAUAGACAUAUUUGUCUAUUAAAACAAA